rnacentral:lncRNA from 1 species
UGCAACAAAUCCUUUACCUUCUCAAUUAUAAUUAUGCUUAGAAGAAGUGAUUUAGCAAUAAACCUGCGAGUGUGAUAUCAACAACUAAUCUAUUAUGAGAUGAGGAAACAGCUUAAGGCAGCAAACCCUAGUUCAUCAGAAGGCACUCAUUACUCAUUACUCAGAAGGCUCCCACGUUUUGUUCUUUUAGGAUGAAGAAAGCAUUGCCUCUUUGGAAACCUCAAAGCCAAGGCUUAACACCUAAUUUGAAUCUUGCACAUUCACACGAGCAAUCUCGCCUCUAGGUUGUCAGUGAGAACUGUUACGGUCAUGAACUGCGUAUGCAUUUCAUUGGAGAGCUGUUACAGUCUUGAACGGCGUAUGCAUUUCAUUGGAUUAAAUGGAGCAUCCCUUCGGGUGGGAUUAAAAUGGGUGUCUGCUCAAGGAAGCUGGUGACCUUAAAUCCCAACCUUCAACAUUCUUGGGAAUGCAGACGUCGAAAAGGAUUUGACCAUGAACUCCAUCCGGAUUGAUAGUUGGAGGGGUUCGCAAAUGAACCAAAUUCUCCUUGUGCUCAUCUUGCAAGGACCCAACAUAGAAAUUUUAUGAGUGAUUUAGCGUCGUGUUUGGGUGCUAAAUUGAAACGAAGAUAAUAGGGACAAGAGAGACACGUUUCUCUAUAUCUUUUAUUUUGAAAACAUAGAAAUUCAUUCCAAAGCAAUCAUAGAAACAUUUAUUUUAUGUCCAUGACUGUCUCUUGAACCAAACACGUUUCUAUCUUUUGUUUGUCCUUUCUAUCUUGGGACACUUAACCAAAUUUCUAAUUGCAAAUUCUCUACUCUAAGCCUUCAGUACUAUUAUAAGAGAAAUAUAUAAAUCCUCAUCAAGAUUUCGUCUAAACAAGUGGCCAAUUAUUUGGCAUCCAUUGUCACAUGCUUGAUGAACAAAAAUAAAGUGGAGCAACUAUAAAGAAAUCAAAUUUUCACAUGCAUUUCAAGACAGUUACCUAAAUUAAUUUUGGCUGCAUCCGAUACCACAUUAAGAAAACUCAAAGACUAUUGCCCUGUUCCGAGCCAUUCACCCUUAUGAUAUAUACCUGGCAAAAAGAUAGGAACUGUGUAUCAGUAUCAAUGGAACUCAAGUUGCAAGGUAAAAAUGAAAAAUGAGAAUAAGCAAACUGAUUUGCCAUGUUUCAAGUACAGUCAAUAACAUUGAUGCAUGUUAACAACCACCUUGCAUGCUGUAGGCUUGAUUAACUGAAAAACCACAGCAUCUCCAUCUAGCAGUCCAUGAGCAACGGCAAACCCUUUCCAUCCACCACUUAGUCCAUUCUUUCGUGCUAAAUAUAUAACUUGAUACUCAUCUGCCUCUUCAUCUAUCAAAGUGAUGACAUCGUCUCGCCUUGGAAGGUUCCUUCUGCAGAAGUCGACUGGAAGACCCUGCACCAAAAUUUCCCUCAUGAUCUAUAUCAUUGCAAUCCACAAUUAAAUAAACCUAUAUGAUGUUUUGCACGCCAAAAUGCAGUGGAAUUAGAGCGAAUUACAGUACAUCUGAAGCCAGGGCAUACACAGAAUGCAAAUUGUUUUAAACCUAACAGAUAAUUAGAUACAUAUUAGUGGCUAAAAAAAUUAACAAAAAACAAGUGGGAAAAGAAAGACAUGUGUGUGCACACGCACAGAAUGAAUUAGUCCAUCCAUGGACGUGGCUUGCAAGCUUGAGAAGCUCCUUAGAUUGUCUGUCUACAGUUAUCUUACAGAAAAUGAUGUGGCUCAUGUAAAUAGUUUUAAUGUUACUUUCCCUUGAGUGAACAUGACAAAUUGUAGGAUUAAAAAACAGUGCGAAUCUAAAAAAUUGACAACACAGUCCAUCCAUAUAGAAAGGAAAAGAGAUUGAAACAUAGGGUGGGAGAUGAUAGAUUUAUCUCACCAGCCAAAAUCCACCAGUAACAUGGGAUUGAAGCAUUGAUUUUAUAAAGAUCGGAUAGUCAGAUCCUAAAUCAGAUUGUAGCUUUUCUGCUUUCUCCAUAGCCUUUGCCCUGGCUUCAUCAGUAGCAUACACCCGGUUUGACAAAUCUCUUGCCUUGGAAAUCCUGAGCAACACAGGAUCACACUAAAAUAUUAGCUUUAUAUGUUUCAACGCACAGAGCUAUAAUUGGUUUAAAAAAUUUGAAUCAAAAUACCUUCUUGGUAUCACCACUCGAUCAAGAACAACCUGUGAGAAAAAAAAACCCAUUAUACACAACAUCCAGCAAAAAUAAACAAAAUCCCAAAAUUUCAUAAGCCCAAAUGAAACUAACGGCUUACUUCUUUAAAGAAAGGAGCAGGCUUGUUCGCGACACGACUGGACCUCCUAACCACAACCACUUGUUUCUCGACUACUCGAGGUUUUGAGCGUUUCAUCUGUUAAUCAAACAAAAAUAGAAUGAGCAUCAUCACACGUAUAAAGGGAGAGGGAGUUAUAGAGGAGAUUAAUUAAUAACCGGAGAGGAUUUGGUAGGGGUGGAAAUUUUAAGAGCUCGAGAAAGCUUGUGGAGAUUGAGGGCUUCCAUUCUUUUCUUGUUCUCUUCCAUUCUCUUUCGGCGACUUUCUUCAUAUGCUGAUAUCUUUGCCACCAUUUUUACUGCAGAAUCAAAAGGUUUCGAUUGCUAGGAUUUUAGCCCUCCCUUCUUGAAGUCUGGGGAGCAGUGUGUGUGAGAGGGAGGGAGAGAGAAAAGGAGAAAUUUGAAAUUGGGGGACUCCUGUACUGUGUCAAUUAGGGCAAGAGAAGUCGACCGUUGAGUUCCCACCCAUUACGAGUAAUGAUAGUGUCAGUGCUGGGGAGCCUGCUAGGCUGCUAGUUCACAGGUAGAAUCCAAUUUUUAGACUUGAAAAACCGUGCUGCCACAAACUCUGGGCACCCUUGCAAGCAGUAUAGUUUUUUUUUCCCUUUUAAUCGUGUGCUAUCUAAGUUAUCAGUAUUUUGAUUAAUUUUUUAAAAUUUUAAAAUUAAUAAUUAUUUUUUGAAAUUUUAAAAUUAACAAUUAGAUAAAUUUCUGGUAAUUUUAUGGUUUAUAACACUCAAUCAAACUGAUAAUUUUUUAAAAAUCAAAUUAAAAACCUAAUUAAACUAUACCCCUCAUACUUCAGUAUAGUUUUUUUUUGCAGAGAUUUAACUAGUUUCAAGAACCGGAUUAUAGAUUAGUUAUAUAAAUCCUAUCUUGCAAUUUUGCUUCGGUAUUUAUGUGAAUAAUUACAAGCACAGAUAAGGUGCUUGCUUUGUAAAAUACAUUAGUUAUUAUAAGAAAAAACAUGAUUAGAUUGUAUUUUUAUAUUUUUAUUACACAGUAUAAUUAUAUUAUUACCAUUGACAAAAAAAAAAACAUUAAGCUUUGGUCUAUAACUUUUUAGUUUUUGACUUAAUUUUUAAAUAAUUAAUUACAUCAUUUUCCUCGGUAUGUAAAAUACUUUGCCUGUGUUCUUUUGUCUUUUAUAUUUAGUUAUUUGAUAGUUAAUACAAGAUAAUUUCAUAAAUAAAUAAAUAAAAAAUAAAAAAAAGAUCUAGAAGUGCGUGAACAAUAUCUAAUGGGUUCGGACAGUGUGUGCGGUGCUGUUUAGUGACCAAAACCUUACUUCCAAGGCGGCAACCAAAUUGUCUCAAUGUUCCCUCCACGUACGGCGGUGUGUGUGGCAUAAUUGUUUCUAGAAUGGCGCAUGUAGCCUUUUAUUUUUUUUUCCUUUCCUCUCUCUCAUACUCGAUUUUCAAGCUGGCCUUAAAAAAAUUCAAAUCAACCCCUAAGAUUUCUUGUUCUAAAGAUUUCAUUCAUAUUCUCUUUAUUGCAGUUUUUUUUAUUUAGAAUAAUUUUUAAAAUUAAAUAUUUUUUCAAUUUCAUCCCUAUUCUCUUUAUUAUAAUUUUGUUUAUUUAGAAUAAUUUAUUAAGUUAAGAAUUUUUUUAAAUUUCAUCCCCAAUAGAUAUUUUUAUAUGUUAAAUUUGGUUUACAUUCUUUUGAUUACUAUUUAUUUUAUUUUAGAUAUUUUUUUGCAUUUGUUUUUGCUUUUUCAUCAUUCUUGAGUUUUUCCUAUCAAAUCUAAUACUUUUUUUAUUAUUGUAUUUUUUUGCCUUGCAAGAUUUUUUUAGAUUGAUUUUUUUUUGUUUUAUCCUCCAACAUUUAAUUAUUCAUUUAUUUAUCUUCUUAGUCAAAUUUGAAUCUAGAAUUUAAUGAAUUGCAAGUUUAAAAGAUUAACCCCGAUUUAUAAAGUUGACACGGGUUUUCUUAUCCCCCCCUUCUUAAUAUUUUUUUUCCAUCAUCCAAAUUUUUUUUAUUUUUUUCUUCACUUUCCAUGAGGUUGUUUAGUGAUUUUGAAAAUAGUACGGGUUGCUUAUUUUUUUUUUGUCUUUGUUAAAUUUACCUUUUCUAAAUGAAUUUUGUCUUUGAAUUAAAUUAAAUUAAUUGAUUUCAUUCUCCAACAUUUAAUUUUUCAUAUGUUAAGCUUAUGGGUUGAACUUGGAUUGAGAAUUUAACGAAUUACCUUCUCUAAAUGAAUUUUAUCUUUGAAUUAAAUUAAAUUAAUUAAUUUCAUUCUCCAACAUUUAAUUUUUCAUAUGUUAAGCUUAUGGGUUGAACUUGGAUUGAUUACAAGUUUGAGAGUUUAACCCGACUUUAUAAAGUUCACUCGGGCUUGUUUGAGUUUUUUUUUUUUUUGUGAUUUCAUCCUCUUAACACUUUUUUUAUUUGCUUUUUAUGGUAUAUAUCUUUCUUUUUAAAAUAAAAAAGGUUGCCUUAAGUAUUUUUUUAGGUCUUUGUUAAAUUUAGCUUUUUAAAAUGAAUUUUUUUAAUUAAAUUAAAUUUAUUUAUUUCAUCCCCCAACAUUUAAUUUGAAGGGUGUUGAAAUUUUUAGUUUAGCUCAGGUCUGCAAUUUAAUAGGUUACAAAUUUAAAAGACUAACCCGGGUUUACAAAGUUCACUUGGACUUGCUUGGUUUUUUCUUUCUUUUUUUUUAGUUUCAUCCACCAACAUUUUAUUUUUUAUUUAUUUCUUUCUAUGAGAUUUUUUUUAAGGUUUUGAAAAUAACAAAGGUUAACUUGGAUUUUUUUUCUUGACGUUCCUUGAAUCUAGUUUUUUUUUAAUGAAUUUUAUUUUUUAAUUAAAUUAAAGUAAUUGCAUUACAGUAAGCAUGAGAUUCUUCAUUCAUGGUUUUUUUGUUUUUAUUUUAUUUUCUAGUUAUUAUUUUAACAGCAUGUGCGGUUUUUUUAAAUACAAAAACCUUAAUUUUUUAUUAUUUCUUUUAAAAUAUUAAUAUCACAUGAAUAUUUUUUAUAUAUUAUUAAUAAAUUAACUCGGCCCACAGCAUUAAGCGUGCCAUUUAUCUAGUUUUAGCGCACUUGGUUUCCUUCACAUCCUUUAAGCACAUGCAUGAUUAAUCUCCACUUCAGAUGAAUAACCAGCUGGACUAGGCAGAUUAGCUUCACGACGGCUUAUAUGGCUUCUGCUUCUCCAUUGCUUCACAAGAAGGAUGAGGAAGAGGAAGAGGGGUGGUAAUAGAUUUAUUAGUAUAUUAUUGGUAUUGUGAUUGUUACUGUGCUUAUAAUUUGAAAAUAUAGAUUUUUAAAAAGAUUAUAAAUUAUAGUUUUUUUAUAAUUAAUAUUAAAUUUAUGGUGUGUAUUAAUUAUUCAAACAUUUUUAAAAUUAUAGUUGGGGCAAAAUAUAAUUUAACUGCAACAAAUCCUUUACCUUCUCAAUUAUAAUUAUGCUUAGAAGAAGUGAUUUAGCAAUGAACCUGCGAGUGUGAUAUCAACAACUAAUCUAUUAUGAGACAAGGAAACAGCUUAAGGCAGCAAACCCUAGUUCAUCAGAAGGCACUCAUUACUCAGUAUGUUAUUGCCCUAAGCUCUUUAACCAGAGUAGCAACUCACCUUAUUAUUAUUAUUAUAUUCUUUUUCGGUAGUUUGCAAGGGGGGAACUGCACCACAGAAAGAUACUAGGAAUGUUAGCUUCGGGAAUUAGUGGAUUUACAUUUCACAAAAUCUACUUGUUUCCACAGGAGACUCCAAAGUAAGUGUUGCAAAUAAAAUUACUGUACAAUUCGUCAGGAGACAAGGAGGUUUACAGAUAAUACACCUCAAAGCUCAACCCCCCUGGCUCCCACGUUUAUUCUUUUAGGAUGAAGAAAGCAUUGCCUCUUUGGAAACCUCAAAGCCAAGGCUUAACACCUAAUUUGAAUCUUGCACAUUCACACGAGCAAUCUCGCCUCUAGGUUGUCAGUGAGAACUGUUACGGUCAUGAACUGCGUAUGCAUUUCAUUGGAGAGCUGUUACAGUCUUGAACGGCGUAUGCAUUUCAUUGGAUUAAAUGGAGCAUCCCUUCGGGUGGGAUUAAAUGGGUGUCUGCUCAAGGAAGCUAUUGA